AAUUCCAUCACAAAACUUGGAAUUUGAAGCUUAAUUUACAUCGUUUAAUUCCUUUGUAGCUUUGGAUUCAUUUGCUACACAAAGGUAGGGGGAAUCUUCUUUGAAACUGUUUUUGGAUUGAUUUUUAUGAUUUCAAUUCUCUGAUUUCCUUUGCAAUGAAAUUGAAGCUUAUUGAUACUCUUAUGAAACUCUAUAUGAUGGAUUUUUGAUGUUUAAAACGAAUUCAUGCUUGUUCCUUUUGAAUUUGAUUUUAGGGUUCAUGAAACAAGUUUGGGUUGUCUUCUAAUUUGAUAUGAAAAUUGUAUUACUUCUAAAAAUUAUCCAUGGGUAUUCUCAAUUUAUUGGAAUUGGUAUUUCCUUUCUCUUGAAACUCAAUUUAAAGCAUUUCAAAGAUUUCUAAAACAGUUUUAUGUCCUGUUUUUGGGAUAAAUUAUCACCAUGUUCAUGUGACUCUUGUUUUUAGUUAUAUUUUUUGGGUAAAAUAUGGACUUUUCUUAUUUAAUACUAUCCAAGAAUCAUUGAUUUACGAUAGGAAAUGAAAUCUGUGUGAAUUUUUGAGUAUAGACUUCCAAAACUUUAAUUUCUGAAGAGCUUGGUUACUGCCCUGUUUAUUUGAGACUUUUCAAAUCAAAUAUAUACCGUAUUUCUUAUGGUUAUGAUUUUUAUGUCAAAGAAGAGUUCCUCAUGUUUCUAACAAGACCAAGUUUGCUAAAUUCCAUUGUGUAAUGAAUUUUACACGAAUUUUCGAUUACAUACAGUACUAUCAAAACUGAAAUUUCAGAACAACUGCACAUCUGUCCUGGUUUAUUGAGAUGUUUAAACAUAUAUAUGUGCCUUAUUACUUUUGGCUAUAAUUUUUAUGUUAAAGUGGGGAUUUCCAGCUUUUAACGGAACCAAAGCUUCAGAAUUUCAGUUUGUAAUUAAUUUUGUACGAGUUUUUGAAUGUAGACUGCCAAAACUGCAAUUUUCUGAGAAACAUGAUUUCUGUCCUGUCUUGCUGAAACACUUUGACACAUAUAUAAAACUCAUUGAUUUUUACUAUCAUUUUUAUCUGAAAUAUUAUGUUUUCUUCUUUAAAAUGAGCGAAGAAACACUCAUUUUCGUAGUGUAACGAAGUCUACACAAUUCUUUGAAAACAGGCUCUGCAAUAUGAAUUUCAGAAACGUUCUACUGUUGUCUUAUGCCCAAAUAUCUUGUUAUCUAAACUAUUUGAUUUUCUUAUUUUUGUUAAUGCUUUUUUUGUGAAAGGAGGUAUUCUCCAUCUUCUAAAAUGGUAAGAUUUAUCAAAUUUUGAUUUGAAACGAAGCCCAUGGUAAUAUCUUUGAGUAAGUGGUUUAAAACGAUAUUUUUGUGCAAACUCUUGGUUUGAAUGAAUUCAUUGAUUCUGAGAUUAUUCCCAGCUCUAUGAUUUAAUACUUUAGUGUAUUUAUGAUCUUCUUUAUGUGGGAAAAGUUAAGGUAAGUCGCUUUCUUGAUUUAUGAAUCAAUAUUUGUUGAUGAUUUGUUCGAUACUCGUAUUUAACGAUGUUUGCGAACUAUUUAUGAAUUGCGUUGAGCAUCCUUUUGGUUAUGAACCCUACUGAUGAGUUUGUCGGGCCCACAAGGGGCAAUCCAUAUUAAUGGUGACCUGCAGAAGAUCGUCCAGGACGAUAGGGUGGUCUUCUGAUAAACCUCGACAGUUGGUUAUUCGGACCCUCACAAGUUUGAGGUCGGAUUGAGGUAGUAAGCUUGCAUAAGCUUGGUGAGCUUUGGGGUCAAAGUGAGUACAUCACUUUGUGUUCAUAUAUAUUCAUAUGUAUCUGGGUUGGCUUAUGAAAAAAAGAUAUUGUAUUUCCGAUUGCUUUAGUUUGUGAAAACUCAUACUAUCGCUUCUUAUCGAAGUUGUUGUUUGUAAAGAGAGUAUUAUUAAUAGUAAGUGUGGGUCAUGUUUAAA